GCCCAGAUGGUGAAAUUGGUAGACACGCUACUUUGAGGGGGUAGUGCUCGCAAGGGUGUGCAGGUUCGAGUCCUGUUCUGGGCACCA
rnacentral:tRNA from 1 species